rnacentral:rRNA from 1 species
CCUACGGGAGGCAGCAGUGAGGAAUAUUGGUCAAUGGACGAAAGUCUGAACCAGCCAUGCCGCGUGAAGGAAGACGGCUCUAUGAGUUGUAAACUGCUUUUGUACGGGAGUAAAAGCAGAUACGUGUAUCAGUAUGAAAGUAUCAUACGAAUAAGGAUCGGCUAACUCCGUGCCAGCAGCCGCGGUAAUACGGAGGAUCCAAGCGUUAUCCGGAUUUAUUGGGGUUAAAGGGUGCGUAGGCGGUCUGAUAAGUUAGAGGUGAAAGCCCGAGGCUCAACUGCGGAAUUGCAGUUGAAACUGGUCGGCUAGAGAACAGUAGCGGUAGGCGGAAUGCAUGGUGUAGCGGUGAAAUGCUUAGAGAUCAGACAGAACACCGAUUGCGAAGGCAGCUUAC